rnacentral:rRNA from 1 species
UACGUAGGGUGCAAGCGUUAAUCGGAAUUACUGGGCGUAAAGCGUGCGCAGGCGGUUGUGCAAGACAGGUGUGAAAUCCCCGGGCUUAACCUGGGAACUGCAUCCGAGACUGCAUAGCUAGAGUAUGGGAGAGGGAAGUGGAAUUUCAGGUGUAGCGGUGAAAUGCGUAGAUAUCAAGAGGAACACCUGAGGUGAAGACGGGUUGCUGGGCUGACACUGACGCUGAGGCGCGAAAGCCAGGGGAGCAAACGGG